rnacentral:rRNA from 1 species
AUGAAGACCUUCCUCGUCUUUGCCCUCCUCGCCGUUGCGGCGACAAGUGCAAUUGCGCAGAUGGAGACUAGAUGCAUCCCUGGUUUGGAGAGACCAUGGCAGCAGCAACCAUUACCACCACAACAGACAUUUCCACAACAACCACUAUUUUCACAACAACAACAACAACAACUAUUUCCUCAACAACCAUCAUUUUCGCAGCAACAACCACCAUUUUGGCAGCAACAACCACCAUUUUCUCAGCAACAACCAAUUCUACCACAGCAACCACCAUUUUCGCAGCAACAACAACUAGUUCUACCGCAACAACCACCAUUUUCACAGCAACAACAACCAGUUUUACCUCCACAACAAUCACCUUUUCCACAACAACAACAACAACACCAACAGCUGGUGCAACAACAAAUCCCUGUUGUUCAGCCAUCCAUUUUGCAGCAGCUAAACCCAUGCAAGGUAUUCCUCCAGCAGCAGUGCAGCCCUGUGGCAAUGCCACAACGUCUUGCUAGGUCGCAAAUGUUGCAGCAGAGCAGUUGCCAUGUGAUGCAACAACAAUGUUGCCAGCAGUUGCCGCAAAUCCCCCAGCAAUCCCGCUAUGAGGCAAUCCGUGCUAUCAUCUACUCCAUCAUCCUGCAAGAACAACAACAGGUUCAGGGUUCCAUCCAAUCUCAGCAGCAGCAACCCCAACAGUUGGGCCAAUGUGUUUCCCAACCCCAACAGCAGUCGCAGCAGCAACUCGGGCAACAACCUCAACAACAACAAUUGGCACAGGGUACCUUUUUGCAGCCACACCAGAUAGCUCAGCUUGAGGUGAUGACUUCCAUUGCGCUCCGUAUCCUGCCAACGAUGUGCAGUGUUAAUGUGCCGUUGUACAGAACCACCACUAGUGUGCCAUUCGGCGUUGGCACCGGAGUUGGUGCCUACUGAUAA